rnacentral:rRNA from 1 species
UACAGAGGGGGCAAGCGUUGUUCGGAAUUACUGGGCGUAAAGGGCGCGUAGGCGGCCUUCUAAGUCGAACGUGAAAUCCCCGGGCUCAACCCGGGAACUGCGUCCGAUACUGGAAGGCUUGAAUCCGGGAGAGGGAUGCGGAAUUCCAGGUGUAGCGGUGAAAUGCGUAGAUAUCUGGAAGGAACACCGGUGGCGAAGGCGGCAUCCUGGACCGGCAUUGACGCUGAGGCGCGAAAGCCAGGGGAGCAAAGCGGG